rnacentral:tRNA from 1 species
GCCUGGGUGGCUCAGUUGCUUGAGCGUCGGACUUUGGCUCAGGUCAUGAUCUGACCGUUUGUGGGUUCGAGACCCACACCGGGCU